GAUGAACGCUGGCGGCGUGCUUAACACAUGCAAGUCGAACGAUGAAGCCCAGCUUGCUGGGUGGAUUAGUGGCGAACGGGUGAGUAACACGUGAGCAACCUGCCCCUGACUCUGGGAUAAGCGCUGGAAACGGCGUCUAAUACUGGAUAUGUCCCGUCACCGCAUGGUGUGCGGGUGGAAAGAUUUUUCGGUUGGGGAUGGGCUCGCGGCCUAUCAGCUUGUUGGUGAGGUAAUGGCUCACCAAGGCGUCGACGGGUAGCCGGCCUGAGAGGGUGACCGGCCACACUGGGACUGAGACACGGCCCAGACUCCUACGGGAGGCAGCAGUGGGGAAUAUUGCACAAUGGGCGAAAGCCUGAUGCAGCAACGCCGCGUGAGGGAUGACGGCCUUCGGGUUGUAAACCUCUUUUAGCAGGGAAGAAGCGAAAGUGACGGUACCUGCAGAAAAAGCACCGGCUAACUACGUGCCAGCCGCCGCCGUAAAAC
rnacentral:rRNA from 1 species